AGUCGCGCGUGAAAGCCUUAGGGCAAGUAAAGCGGCGAACGGGUGAGUAACACGUAACCAACCUGCCCCCGAGAUCGGGAUAACCACUGGAAACGGUGGCUAAUACCGGAUGAUCCCUGAAGCCGGCAUCGGCUUUCGGGUAAAUGGCUUCGGCUGUUCGGGGAGGGGGUUGCGGCCUAUCAGCUUGUUGGUGGGGUAACGGCCUACCAAGGCGAUGACGGGUAGCGGGUCUGAGAGGAUGAUCCGUCACACUGGGACUGAGACACUGCCCAGACUCCUACGGGAGGCUGCAGUCGAGAAUCUUCCGCAAUGGGCGCAAGCCUGACGGAGCGACGCCGCGUGGGUGAUGAAGGCCUUCGGGUUGUAAAGCCCUGUUAGCUGUUAUGAACCGCGGGUGGUGAACAACCAUCCCGUCUGACGUAAGCAGCAAAGAAAGCACCGGCUAACUACGUGCCAGCAGCCGCGGUAAUACGUAGGGUGCAAACGUUGUUCGGAAUCACUGGGCAUAAAGCGCGCGUAGGCGGUCUGAUAAGUCCUGUGUGAAAGCCCCCGGCUUAACCGGGGAAUUGCACAGGAUACUGUCGGGCUAGAGUACAGGAGGGGAGAGCGGAAUUCCUGGUGGAGCGGUGAAAUGCGUAGAUAUCAGGAGGAACGCCGGUGGCGAAAGCGGCUCUCUGGUCUGUUACUGACGCUGAGGUGCGAAAGCUAGGGGAGCAAACGGGAUUAGAUACCCCGGUAGUCCUAGCCCUAAACGAUGGGUACUAAGUAGGGGAAACUCCGAAGUUUUCCCUGCCGGAGCUAAUGUAUUAAGUACCCCGCCUGGGGAGUAUGGUCGCAAGGCUAAAACUCAAAGGAAUUGACGGGGGCCCGCACAAGCGGUGGAGCAUGUGGUUUAAUUCGAUGCAACGCGAAGAACCUUACCUGCCCUUGACAUCCUCGGAACUUGGCAGAGAUGCCUUGGUGCCUUCGGGAACCGAGUGACAGGUGCUGCAUGGCUGUCGUCAGCUCGUGUCGUGAGAUGUUGGGUUAAGUCCCGUAACGAGCGCAACCCUUGUCCUUAGUUGCCAGCACGUAAUGGUGGGAACUCUAAGGAGACUGCCGGUGACAAACCGGAGGAAGGUGGGGAUGACGUCAAGUCAUCAUGGCCCUUACGGGCAGGGCGACACACGUGGCUACAAUGGCCGGUACAGAGGGUUGCCAAGCAGCGAUGCGGAGCUAAUCCCAGAAAGCCGGUCGUAGUCCGGAUUGGAGUCUGCAACUCGACUCCAUGAAGUCGGAAUCGCUAGUAAUCGCGAAUCAGAACGUCGCGGUGAAUACGUUCCCGGGCCUUGUACACACCGCCCGUCACACCAUGGGAGCUGGUGCACCAGAAGCAGGUUGCUUAACUUCGGGGGGGCGCUACC
rnacentral:rRNA from 1 species